rnacentral:lncRNA from 1 species
UUUAUAUUCAAAGGAGUUCUACUAAAUUAUGAAUUGUUUACAUCUUCGAGGAUAUAUGAAAUGGGAACAGUAUUGAUUAUCAGGCUCACAUUUAUAACAUACUUUUUCUAUAAAAGGUUACUCACAUAUUUGAAAAAAAACAGGAAGAACUCACAGUGUUUGCACAAUGAUUGCAUUCACAAAUUUUGUUAUCAUGAGAGUAAUACUACAUUUGGAAUAUGAACAAAUGCAAAAGAAAAAAAAUUUCUACUGCCUUAAUUCUCAUUACUAUUUUCAGCAGUUAGAGUUGGUAAAUGUUCCCAGCAAUGUUCGGAAACAAAUUUUUUAUAAACUUAUAUAGCACAUUAAGUAUGUUGUUCAAAAUAUGUUAUACUGCAUAUCCUCUAAUUGUUCUGGAAAAGUGAAAGGUAUGUGGCUUCUUUCAAUGCCCCAGUGAUCACAAGGCUUGUAUCAAUCGUAACCUAUGACAUCCACAUCAAAAGAAGAAUAACAAGUGAAAAUUCCACAUUACAUUCACAGCUGACUUUUUUUUGUCACAGAGAUGUGGUACAGAGAUUAAGGUUUUUCCACAAAACCAUUUUUGAAUCUUAUGAACUGUUCAUCUCACUAAAUUUAGCAAUGUUAUUACAAGUAUAUCAUUGAGCUCAGAUAUACUAUGGAUUAUUUGCUCAUUACUAGGUUUUAGACAUAUACUUGUCACCUAAUCACUAUGUGUUCCUUUUGCAAUAGCUAAGCGAUAUAAGACUGAAGACACUCACACUUGUAUAGCAUGGCUGUACUAGGCUUGAUUUAAACAGUAACAUAUGUGUUAAGCCAUUAUUUCUCUGACUUUGACCUAAUGGAAUGUCUUGCAAACAACAGUUACAUAUCUGCCAUAAACAUAUAUGAUUUUUAUGAAAGUCAGUAAACAUCCAUCACUGAAAGCAGUGCUUAUUGUACCCUAUUGGUUUUCUUUACUACUUGUACCACAAGUUAAACUUUCUUCAUAGGCAUUUUCUCCUCAGCUUGCAGAGUAAAAUUACCUUCCAUGACUUCGAGAAGUUUGAAAAUGGUCUUCAAUCGUAUGUUCUUCCCAAAUGUAACCUAAACCCAGUACCAGAGAAAGUAUGUUACAUUAUUGGCAAUUAAACAGUAUUUAAGUUAU